GGGAUAUUGUUCGUUGUGGGAUUUCCGAUUUCAGUAAUUGGUUAGAAGAGCUUGGAGGGAUAUUGUUUGUUGUGGAGUUUGCGAUUUCAGUAAUUGGUUGGAAGAGGUCGGAGGUCAGAUUUCAGUAAUUGUUGUGGGUCUUCAUUCGCCAGAUAAACCAUUGUCACAUAGAGUUCAAGUAGUACAGCAAGCGACCUUAAGCUUCAAUGGAGAAGCUUCUUAAUCCAUAUGAUAAGGAGCAGGAACUCAUGUAUAAGAUCCAGAAAUCGAAACGAAGGUUGAGCAGAGUGAGAUAAUGGUUCAAGAGAUAUGUUAUGACAUUAAAAAGUUAGAUUUUCCGAAAAAGCAUAUAACAACCACCAUUGCUGCUGUUCAUUGUCUGACCAU